UACGUAGGGUGCAAGCGUUAUCCGGAAUUAUUGGGCGUAAAGAGCUCGUAGGCGGUUUGUCGCGUCUGCUGUGAAAACCCGAGGCUCAACCUCGGGCCUGCAGUGGGUACGGGCAGACUAGAGUGCGGUAGGGGAGAUUGGAAUUCCUGGUGUAGCGGUGGAAUGCGCAGAUAUCAGGAGGAACACCGAUGGCGAAGGCAGAUCUCUGGCCCGAUACUGACGCUGAGGCACGAAAGCGUGGGGAGCAAACAGG
rnacentral:rRNA from 1 species